ACUUCCGUCAUAAAUCCAUUUUUGAAUUGCUAUUUGAUCGCUCUUUUUUAGGAGUAAAAAUGUCUCUAAGUACUGAAAAAAAAGCAGCAAUCGUUGCUGAAUUUGGUCGUGAUGCG
rfam:Haemophilus influenzae R2846, complete genome.